UACGGGAGGCAGCAGUGGGGAAUAUUGCACAAUGGGCGCAAGCCUGAUGCAGCCAUGCCGCGUGUAUGAAAAAGGCCUUCGGGUUGUAAAGUACUUUCAGUCGUGAGGAAGGUGUUAAGGUUAAUAACCUUAGCAAUUGACGUUAGCGACAGAAGAAGCACCGGCUAACUCCGUGCCAGCAGCCGUGGUAAUACGGAGGGUGCGAGCGUUAAUCGGAAUUACUGGGCGUAAAGGGCACGCAGGCGGUUAAUUAAGUUGGAUGUGAAAUCCCCGGGCUUAACCUGGGAAUGGCAUUCAAGACUGGUUAGCUAGAGUCUUGUAGAGGGGGUAGAAUUCCAUGUGUAGCGGUGAAAUGCGUAGAGAUGUGGAGGAAUACCGGUGGCGAAGGCGGCCCCUGGACAAAGACUGACGCUCAUGUGCGAAAGCGUGGGGAGCAAACAGGGAUUAGAUACC
rnacentral:rRNA from 1 species